rnacentral:rRNA from 1 species
AGCUCCACUAGCGUAUAUUAAAGUUGUUGCAGUUAAAAAGCUCGUAGUUGGAUUUCUGACAUGGUGCGCCUGGUCCGCCCCGUAAAGGUGUGUGAGUACCGGUGUGCGCCUGUCAUCCUUCCGCGGAGCGUGCCUACCCUUCACUGGGCCGGGUACGCGACGUGGAUCGUUUACUUUGAAAAAAUUAGAGUGUUCAAAGCAGGCUAUACGCUUCUGAAUACAUUAGCAUGGAAUAAUAAGAUAGGACUUGGGUUCUAUUUUGUUGGUUUCUAGGACCGAAGUAAUGAUUGAUAGGGAUAGUUGGGGGUGCUAGUAUUUAACGGCCAGAGGUGAAAUUCUUGGAUUCGUUAAAGACUAACUAAUGCGAAAGCAUUCACCAAGGAUGUCUUCUUUAAUCAAG